AUUCCAGCUCCAAUAGCGUAUAUUUAAGUUGUUGCAGUUAAAAAGCUCGUAGUUGGAUUUCGGGUGGGUACCGCCGGUCUCCCUUUGGGUAUGUACUGGCGUGGCCCGCCUUGCUGUCGGGGACGAUCUCCUGGGCUUAAUUGUCCGGGAAUCGGAGUCGACGAUGUUACUUUGAGUAAAUUAGAGUGUUCAAAGCAAGCCUACGCUCUGAAUAUAAUAGCAUGGGAUAACACGACAGGACUCUGGCCUAUCAUGUUGGUCUGUAGGACCGGAGUAGUGAUUAAGAGGGACAGUCGGGGGCAUUCGUAUUCCAUUGUCAGAGGUGAAAUUCUUGGAUUUAUGGAAGACGAACAUCUGCGAAAGCAUUUGUCAAGGAUGUUUUCAUUA
rnacentral:rRNA from 1 species